AUGUAAAUACUCCAUGCUAGUUCACGUUUACUACGCUCCUUUGAAUUUCCGUGAUUUUAUGUUAGCAACUGGAAAAUUGGCUAGCGAGGUUAUCAUCAAAAGUCGUAUUGAUCAGGAGUGCGUUCAAGGUUUCGAAUACGCUGGCAAAGCUGAAGAUGGACAACGUUACAUGGGAAUGAUCGUAGCCAUAAACUAUGGCAACGGUUAUCGAAAGUGAUUUACGUUUGCAAUGGAAAGUACCAGAUGCGUGGACUUUGGAGGAAGCUGCAACUGUACCAGUCGUUUAUGGAACAGUUCUUUACGCUUUAUUAAUCUGUGGCGAUAUGAAAAAAGGCGAAUCUACUUUAAUUCACGCCGGGAGUGGCGGUGUCGGUCAAGCAGCAGCUGCAAUUAAUAUAUGUUUAUUCUACAAUUGCAAAAUUUUCACCAUCGUUGUUACUUACUCCUGAAAAAAUAUAAUUUAUUAGAAAAACUUUCCCCCAGAUCCCAGAAAGCCACAUUGGUAAUUCGAGAGAUACCUCGUUUGAACAUGUGGUCAUGAGAGAGAC